rnacentral:rRNA from 1 species
CCUACGCGUGGCAGCAGUGGGGAAUAUUGCACAAUGGGGGAAACCCUGAUGCAGCGACGCCGCGUGAGUGAAGAAGUAUUUCGGUACGUAAAGCUCUAUCAGCAGGGAAGAAAAUGACGGUACCUGACUACGCAGUCCCGGCUAACUACGUGCCAGCAGCCGCGGUAAUACGUAGGGGGCAAGCGUUAUCCGGAUGUACUGGGUGUAACGGGAGCGUAGACGGCAGGGCAAGUCUGGAGUGAAAUCCUAGGGCUUAACCAUGGAACUGCUUUGGAAACUGUGCAGCUAGAGUGCAGGAGAGGUGAGCGGAAUUCCUAGUGUAGCGGUGAAAUGCGUAGAUAUUAGGAGGAACACCAGUGGCGAAGGCGACUUACUGGACUGUAACUGACGUUGAGGCUCGAAAGCGUGGGGAGCAAACAGGAUUAGAUACCCUGGUAGUC